UUAGUGGCGCACGGGUGAGUAACACGUAGCUAAUCUGCCCUAUGCUAAGGGACAACAGUUGGAAACGACUGCUAAUACCUUAUACUCCGCUACCACCUAAGUGGUAUCGGGAAAGUUUUUCGGCAUAGGAUGAGGCUGCGGUCUAUCAGCUAGUUGGUGGGGUAAUGGCCUACCAAGGCUAUGACGGAUAGCUGGUCUGAGAGGAUGAUCAGCCACACUGGAACUGAGACACGGUCCAGACUCCUACGGGAGGCAGCAGUGGGGAAUUUUACACAAUGGGCGAAAGCCUGAUGUAGCAACGCCGCGUGGAGGAUGACGGAUUUAGGUCUGUAAACUCCUUUUAUAGGGGAAGAAAUUUGACGGUACCCUAUGAAUAAGCACCGGCUAACUCCGUGCCAGCAGCCGCGGUAAUACGGGGGGUGCAAGCGUUACUCGGAA
rnacentral:rRNA from 1 species